AGUUUGUACUCAGGAUUGGCUUAGGCUGCCAAAUACCUACAUAUCAAUUGAGGAAAAUCUAGAAGAAUUAGAAAGAUUUGAGAAAGAGUUUACUGUAGAG